GGCGGACGUGACCCCGCCCCCUUUAUGCCCCUCCCCGCUUCCCGUAGUCCCGUCCGAUGGUCACAAAUGGCGUUUCCCAUUGUGAGGAACCUCCUGGUAUCACGAGAAUCCAGGAACCUCCCAGGUUUGAUCCCCCUAACUUGGAGGCCUCAUCCAGCGGGCCGCCUCCCUGCAGCGGGCUGAGCUGAAAGCAGAUAAACAACACCCUCAGGCACCAUGUCCCGUCCCCUCCGUUACGCCUCUGGGGACCAGAGUUCCACAGCACAGGGGCAGCACGGACCCACCGGUGCACAGGCAGAGGAGGACCCUCCCGGACCUGGAUCUAGCAUCAGCUCUUCAGUAAACUCUGCUCACUCCGGGGGAACGCCGCCGCCGAUGAGCUGCAGGCCUGAGCGGAGCAGGGUCGCAUCGCGGUCUAUAGACGUGCAGAUUGGCAGAGCCAGGGCGGGGGCGGGGCUUCUCGGGAAGUCAACGCUUCAGCCACGAGGGCGUCGCGUGACCGGCAUUCAAAGAGAGCGUCUCUCCUCAGCCACAGGGAUGGUCUCCUACCCGGUGCCCUCAACCUAUGCCUCUAAAGGUCAUGGACAUCCAGGGAUGGAAAUUGCCAGUGACCCCUCCAGGCCCCGUGAAGAUGAACCCUCAAAAUUGUCGUCAGCUUUGUCUUCUAAUCCACCCAGCAGAGGGGACAGUGUGUUAAUGGUUUCAAUCGACAGAAAACAUGUAACGCUCUCUCUUCCAGUGUUAAGUACAUCCGAGUCUCCGCUGUCUGACACGCCCGCAACUCCUACGCCGCCCAGUCGACUCAGCGUCUCUGAAUCAGCUUCUAACAUCCUUCGGCGAUUUGGACUUGAGCAAGAGGACCUGGACCAUCUCGUCUCGUACCCCGAGGACCAGAUCACCCCCGCCAGCCUGCCGUUCAUCCUGCGACAAAUCGGCAUUGAGAAGACGGAGAGAGCCUUGGGCGCAUCGCGGUGUAAGGCCCGCCCCGAACCCCAACCCGCCCCGAGCCAAUCGGUAGUGGGCGGUGAUGGGGUGAGUCAUCCCGGAAGGGCGGCGAGGUUCCAGGAGGAAAGUUCAUCCGCCGUCCUCGAGCCCAGUAAAGUGACUGACGGUGGACGUGGUGACGAAUGCGUCGAAGGGGCUGCAGGCGAGGUUGGGAGUGUCAGUAGAGAAACCUGCGGUGGGAUUGGAAGUACGUCGCCGGCGGACGCUGCCGGUAACAAAACCGAGGUGGAAAGCGUCGCGUUGGGGUUGUCACGUGACCAGGCGGGUCCUGCCUCCAGCCUCGGCCCUUUGAACGCUUCAAAACUGAGCUGUGCCGCGUCACCAAUCAGCGACCAGACUCAAAUGCAGACCCAAGCAAACCGCCAAACGCUCCCCGGUUCUUCCUCCAUGCCGAGCACAGCCGUCGAGUCUGAGGCCGCCGACCCCGUUGACCCUUUGAUAGACCAAGAGAGUUCGCCAGGUCACCGGUCGGCAUCCCCCAAACCGGACCCCGUGCUCGUCGGCAGUAGUGACCACGAUUGUCAAUCAACAGCACAAGUAUCACAGACCAUCUCGCUUCCGGCCUCGUCUGCCGCCGAAUCAGUCGCCCGGCUGCCGUCCGUCCCGGCCUGUCCUCCCCCCGCCGCCUGUCCUCCGGCUCAGCCCGUCCCGGGCCCUUCGGACGUCACUCACCCGACGCCUCCGUCCUCCGACCAGCCGCCCGCCGCGGAGAAGGUGUCCGUCUCCAAGGGUGUCCCGUCGGCCGCCACGAUGAGUGACGGUGCCGCGGCCACACCGGGGCGCUUUCCGCACACCUGCCGUCCGUGUCGCAGCAAAUGUCUUCAGAUGAAGGAUUGGAUUUCCCACCAGAACACAGACCUUCACCUGGAGAGAUGCAAACACCUCCGGUUACGAUACCCGGAGUGGGAUGGUGAGAUUCCCAGCAGCCGAUCGCGAUCGCCUCACAGCAGCAGGUCACAGUCGGGUUCUCGCCCCACCUCCUCCCGCUAUCGGUCAUGUUUAACGAGUCCUGAGAGGAGGAGAGACGAUAAAGGGUCCUUGCCAAGGAGGAGAGACGAGAGACGAUCGACUUCAAGGAGCAGAGACGAGAGACGAUCGACUUCUAGGAGCAGAGACGACAAACGAUCGACUUCAAGAAGCAGAGACGACAAACGAUCGACUUCAAGGAGCAGAGACAAGAGACGAUCGACUUUAAGGAGCAGAGACGACAAACGAUCGACUUCAAGGAGCAGAGACGACAAACGAUCGACUUCAAGGAGCAGAGACGACAAACGAUCGACUUCAAGGAGCAGAGACGACAAACGAUCGACUUCAAGGAGCAGAGACGACAAACGAUCGACUUCAAGGAGCAGAGACGACAAACAAUCGACUUCAAAGGGGAAAGACGACAAACGAUCGACUUCAAGGAGCAGAGACGAGAGACGAUCAACUUCAAGGAGCAGAGACGAGAGACGAUCGACUUCGAAGGGGAAAGACGACAAACGAUCGACUUCAAGGAGCAGAGACGAGAGACGAUCGACUUUAAGGAGCAGAGACGACAAACGAUCGACUUUAAGGAGCAAAGACGACAAACGAUCGACUUCAAGGAGCAGAGACGACAAACGAUCGACUUCAAGGAGCAGAGACGACAAACGAUCGACUUCAAGGAGCAGAGACGAGAGACGAUCGACUUCAAAGGGGAAAGACGACAAACGAUCGACUUCAAGGAGCAGAGACGAGAGACGAUCGACUUCAAGGAGCAGAGACGAGAGACGAUCGACUUCAAGGAGCAGAGACGAGAGACGAUCGACUUUAAGGAGCAGAGACGAGAGACGAUCGACUUCAAGGAGCAGAGACGAGAGACGAUCGACUUUAAGGAGCAGAGACAACAAACGAUCAACUUUAAGGAGGAGAGACGAGAGACGAUCGACUUUAAGGAGCAGAGACAACAAACGAUCAACUUUAAGGAGGAGAGACGAGAGACGAUUGCCUGGAAGAAGGACAAUCGAGAGACGAGGGAGUAGCAGUGAUGAGAGCAGCUCCGCUCCGUGUAAAAAGUUGGCCGAGAAACUACUGAAAAAUUCAGCUGUCGACCUGCUGUCCAAACCGUCCGACCUGGACGCUCUGCUUCAAACGCUGGCUCCUAUUGUCCUCGCCGAGUUAGCCAAGAGGAAGUCACCGUCACCCUCCUCCUCCUCCUCUUCCUCCUCCUCCUCCUACAGUCCAGGAGAGACCUCCUCGUCUCCAGCUGCCUCUUCCUCACCCCCCCCACCAAAGAAGAGGUUGACUCAAAAGCCUUCUGAAGCCAGUUCUUCCCCAAAGGCUGAGUGCGGUAAACCGUCCCCUCCCACCAUGGUGAAGCUGACGGGGAUCCACGCGUCUCUCUCUCGCAGCGACGUGCUGGCCGCUGUGCAGCACUUUGGAAAAACAAAGUCUUUCUUACUCUUUCCGUCCAAGCUGGAGGCCAUAGUGUGUUUUGAGAACAAAGAAGACGCGACGAAACUGAAGAGCCUGAAGAGCCUCGACGUGAAAGGGAUUCGGAUCACGGUGUUUGAAGGAAAGAAGGCUGUUUGUCACAGGAAGCAGAAGCCUCUGAUCACGGCCGCCGCCGCGUCCAGCAUCUUCACACCCGAAGGCGCCGUCACGAGAAAAGUCCUCCUCCCCACACCCGACGGGCCUCCACUCGAAUGGCCCGAAAAGCCUCCGCCUGCACCUCCCGGAGCCAGAAAAGGGCCGUUUGAAGGCCGGGGGAGCGCCAGCGAAGGGAGCCGCGUCUCCUGCGCGCAUGGACCUGAAGCGCCACAGGCGUGUCACACGCGGCCCCCUCUGACCGUGGGCGAAAUAAUAGAAAAGCACCUGAGCCGAGAGCGAAUGAAACACUUCAAGAAAGAAAACGUCUCAUUGGAAAGCGAAAUCAAGUGUUUUGAAGAAGACGCAAAGAAAUCAAACAGCCCGAUGAGCUCCGACCUGAAAGGAAUUAAAGUCACGGUUGCCGGAGGAAAGAAGACAGUUACUAAGGAGCAAAAAAAGCCUCUGACAAGAUCGGCCUCGUCCAGCGUCCAUCACAACACUCCCACGAGAAAGGUGUCUCAAACGUUGGAUCCCGCGGGAGCUGAGGAGGAGGAGGCGGCGGAGGCGGAGCCCGGCGGGUUCGGGCGUCGCUCUCCGCGCCAAGCGGCCGCCGGGGCGGUUUCCGCGGCGACCGUCGGCGAGCGCGUGGAGAAGCACCUGCGUCGCUACAGACUAAGGCUCUUCGAGGAAGAAAGCGUCUUCGGGGAGCAGGAUCUGCCGCGUCACUGCAAGCUGCUGCUCAUCACCAACCUGCCGCCGUAUCACCACGGCAGCUACACGGAGGAGGAGCUGGCCGCGCUGCUGGCGCCGUUUGGCUUCCGCUACGCGGAGGACAGCAUCUUCGUCGUCCCCCAGACGUGCAUGGCCUUCUUCCAGGUGCCAGCGGUGGGGGUCACGCAGGAAAUAAUGAAGGCCUCCGCGCGGGACGGCGUUUUCUUCAAGCGCUCGAAGCUCGUUUUCAGCGCGGUCGCCGGAGGGGUCGCCAUGACGCCGAAUGUGCAGGACGACGGGCAGCGGAUCGUCUUCAUCAGGGACAUCUCCACCAAGGAGUCCAGCGAGCUCAGAGACGCCCUGAACAAAAUCCAGUCCGUCAAAAACUUCCUGCCGCUCCUCAACCAGGCGUUCGUAGAAUUCAAGACGGUGCGUGACGCCGAUCGGCUCGGCGUCUGGUACGGCCUGCUGAGACGGGCCCCCGGCCACCAGGUCCACCGGCUGAAGGCGCCGUCCGCCGGCCUGAAGUCGGCGCCGCCGCCGAAGCUUCCCGGGAACGCCCUGCCGGACGGCACAGACGCUGUUGCCGGGGCGACUGUGCCGCCCACGACGAGCGGCGUUCCCCGGGGCAGCGUUGGUCCGUUUUGGGUCACGACCAGAACGCAUCCCUUUCUGUUUCCCACCAGGUCGCCGUGGUUCAUCAUCCCGGAUUUCCUGACGUCCAGAACACAGAACAACUUGAUGAAGGCCGUGCGCGGCCCCAAGAUCCCAACCGUCAUGUUGACCGGAUUACCGGAGGGAAACUACCGGCACGAGGACGUGGCCGAGCUGGUCCGGCCCUACUUCCCCGGAUGGAGCCUCUACUCGGCGUACUACGACGUGGUGGUCUUACCUCUGCAGAGGAGGGCCUUUGUGUUUUUCGCUGACUGGUCUUCGUGCUGCAGUUUCGUCCGAGAUCACAUCAGAAAUCCCGUCGCCGUGGGACUCCGCCCCCUCACGGCUCACUUCGUGUUGGAGGACAUAAGUCCCUUUUCCACCGAGGAGGCGAUGUACGCGACUCUGAUGACGUGGAGCAACGCUGGGGUCCCGGAGCCGGAGGGUCUGGAGGAGCGGCUGCUGUGCGUGGAGACCUCCGAGACGUCGCCGCACGUCACCAGGGCCGUCGUGGGCGCCGUGGCGUCCGUGGCGUCCCUCGCCGGCUUCCUGCCGCUCGCCAACAGGAUCUGCAUCGAGAUGUCGGACGCCGGCGGUGUGACCGAGGUGGUGGAGAAACACCGGGAUUGUUUCCUCUGGAUGAAGAACGCGGCCGUUUGGAACAGCGUUCUACGCGUUGAGUCGUGAGUAAACCGCCGUGUAAAGUUAUAUCUCAAGUUCAAAUCUUCUUUCAAACUGGCAUUAAAUGAUUUAAUCAUGAACCUUUUUAAUGCAUCGAGUGAACGAUUAGUUCAGUUUGAAGAGCCUAAAGCGGCGCCUAGAAGAUCCUGAUGAGGUCGUAAACAUCGAGGCUCAUGCUGUGAAGUCCAAGAUUAUUCUCAUAGAAUAAAACUGUGCAAUACUUUAACGAAUUAAACCGUGUCCUUGAAACCUUG